UACCUGGUUGAUCCUGCCAGUAGUCAUAUGCUUGUCUCAAAGAUUAAGCCAUGCAAGUCUAAGUACGAGCUCUCGUACAGUGAAACUGCGAAUGGCUCAUUAAAUCAGUUAUGGUUCAUUUGAUCGUACAGUUUACUUGGAUAACUGUGGUAAUUCUAGAGCUAAUACAUGCGAGAAGCGCCGACCUCGCGGGAGGCGUGCAUUUAUCAGACCAAAAACCGGCCGCGUCUUCGGGCGCGUUCGCCUUGGUGACUCUGGAUAACUUUGCGGAUCGCACGGUCUAGCACCGGCGACGGAUCAUUCAAGUGUCUGCCCUAUCAACUUUCGUCGGUACGGUAUUUGCCUACCGAGGUUCUUACGGGUGACGGGGAAUCAGGGUUCGAUUCCGGAGAGGGAGCCUGAGAAACGGCUACCACAUCCAAGGAAGGCAGCAGGCGCGCAAAUUACCCAUUCCCGACGCGGGGGAGGUAGUGACGAAAAAUAACAAUGCAGGACUCGUUCGAGGCCCUGUAAUUGGAAUGAGUAC
rnacentral:ncRNA from 1 species